rnacentral:rRNA from 1 species
UACGUAGGUGGCAAGCGUUGUCCGGAUUUAUUGGGUUUAAAGGGUGCGUAGGCGGCCCUGUAAGGUCAGUGGUGAAAUACUCCAGCUAACUGGAGGGGUGCCAUUGAUACUGCAGGGCUUGAGUGGAGUCGAAGUAGGCGGAAUUGACGGUGUAGCGGUGAAAUGCUUAGAUAUCGUCAAGAACACCGAUAGUGAAGACAGCUUACUAGGCUCUACUGACGCUGAGGCACGAAAGUGUGGGGAGUCAAACAGG